rnacentral:rRNA from 1 species
GAUGAACGCUGGCGGCGUGCCUAAUACAUGCAAGUCGAGCGAACAGACGAGGAGCUUGCUCCUCUGACGUUAGCGGCGGACGGGUGAGUAACACGUGGAUAACCUACCUAUAAGACUGGGAUAACUUCGGGAAACCGGAGCUAAUACCGGAUAAUAUAUUGAACCGCAUGGUUCAAUAGUGAAAGACGGUUUUGCUGUCACUUAUAGAUGGAUCCGCGCCGCAUUAGCUAGUUGGUAAGGUAACGGCUUACCAAGGCAACGAUGCGUAGCCGACCUGAGAGGGUGAUCGGCCACACUGGAACUGAGACACGGUCCAGACUCCUACGGGAGGCAGCAGUAGGGAACCUUCCGCAAUGGGCGAAAGCCUGACGGAGCAACGCCGCGUGAGUGAUGAAGGUCUUCGGAUCGUAAAACUCUGUUAUUAGGGAAGAACAAAUGUGUAAGUAACUAUGCACGUCUUGACUGUACCUAAUCAGAAAGCCACGGCUAACUACGUG